UUUCUUUCGCGCUCAUUCACUUCCGCCUCCCUCUCGGUCGCAACUGUUUUGCAUCUUGUUUCAUCGCGUUUCACGAUGCCCCGCUUCAACAACGAUUCCACCACGGCCGUCUGCAUCGCCACGGAAUAGGAGCUUUCUCGGUCAACCAAAUUGAAGAAGAGAUGUUAUGAUAUCGCUGAAGGGCGAACUGAAGGAUAGACGUGGACGACUGUUAGGGGGACACGCCAGCCUGUGGGCUGAUGUUGCUGAUGCUGUGGGAAACACCGGCGGACGUCUUGGGGAAGGUAACGACAUCGAAGCGAAGAGUGUGGAGUUCGACAGCCGCAUAGCUGCGGGCGUGAAGUUGAGGGGGAAGAGACCGGAGAGAAGAUGCAGGGGUGACGAAUCAAGGUAAGGUUAAUAACCGCUUGAUAAUGUCCCACUUGUGCCAAUUGAAUGCCUCAGCGUCGACGGAAUGUCAGGAAGUCUAGGUACAAGUACGAGUAUGCCAAUAUAACAAACAUAUGCAUGGUUCCGGAGGCAAUGAGCAAUGGGUGUGUUGAUUUUUUGUUAGUUAUAUGCCGUUUUAAGCGUAACUGAACGGAAUUGUUCUUACCAGCAUAUAAUGGAUAUCGUAUAAUUGUCAUUUUGUAAAAGUAAGC